rnacentral:lncRNA from 1 species
AAUGUAGAGCUGAGUCUUCUUGGAAAGAAAAAGAAAAGGCUCCAGGUUGACAAAUGGUGGGGUAACAGAAAGGAACCGGCCACUGUCAGAACCAUCUGCAGUCAUGUUCAGAACAUAAUCAAGGGUGCUUCACUGGGCUUCUGUUACAACAUGAUGUCUGUGUAUGCUCACUUCCCCAUCAAUGACAUUAUUCAGGAGAAUGGGUCUUUGGUUUAAAUCUAAAAUUUCUUGGGUGAAAAAUACAUCCACAAAGUUCAGAUGAGGGUGGGUGUUGCUUGUUCUGUCUCUCAAGCCCAGAAAGAUGAAUUAAUCCUUGAAGAAAAUGAUACUGAAUUUGUUUCAAAUUUAGUGGCUCUGAUUCAGCACACCACAGCAGUUAAAAACAAGGAUAUCAGGAAGUUUUUGGACAGCAUCUCUGUGUCUGAAGGGAAACCUGCAGCAGGCUGAUGAGUGA